UUAGUGGAGCAACAAGGCUGUUUAUUCACUUGGGUGCAAGUGGGCCGAGUCAGAGAAAGGAGUCAGCGAAGGGUGGUGGGAGUGGAACUGGUUCUAUAGGUUUGGGGUAGGUAGUGGAAAGUUACAGUUAGGGGCAGUUUUUUUGGGCAGGGGAAGAAUGUUACAAGGUGGAUAGUCACAAGGUGGGGGAAGUCACAAGGCACGAUAUCACAAGGUGGAUGGAUUAGUUGGGGAAGGGCAGGAACAUAUCACAAGGUGGAUGGAUUAGUUAGGGUAGGGAAGGAACAUAUCACAAAGUGGAUGGAUUAGUUAGGGUAGGGCAGGAACAUGUCACAGCG
rnacentral:lncRNA from 1 species